rnacentral:tRNA from 1 species
GCUAUGGCUUAGUGGCAGAGCAUCUGUUUUGCAUACAGAAGAUCCCAGGUUCAAUUCAAGAUCUUUGCUUGAGGCC